AUGGCCUGGGUUCAGCUCCUCUUUACCAUCAUCACUCUUUUCACAGGGUCCCUCAUCCAACCUGUGCUGACUCAGCUGCCCUCUGCAUCUGCCUCGCUGGGACACACAGCCAAACUCACCUGUACCCUCAGCAGUGGUUACAGUAGUUAUGUGGUGGAAUGGUACCAUCAGAGCCCAGGGAAAGGUCUGCAGUUUGUGAUGCAAGUAGGUAGCAGUGGUAUUGUGGGAUGCAAGGGCAAUGGAAUCCCUGAUCGAUUCUCAGGAUCAGGCUCUGGCUUGGAUCAGUACCUGAUCAUCCAGAACAUCCAGGGAGAAGAUGAGAAUGUUUAUCAUUGUGGGACAUAUCAUGGCAGUUUGAGUGGCUAUGUGUAG